AUUGACCGCUGGCGGCAGGCCUAACACAUGCAAGUCGAACGAGUGGCGGACGGGUGAGUAAUUUCUGGGAAACUGCCCGAUGGAGGGGGAUAACUACUGGAAACGGUAGCUAAUACCGCAUAACAUCAGAUGUGCCCAGAUGGGAUUAGCUAGUAGGUUGGGUAACGGCUCACCUAGGCGUCGAUCCCUAGCUGGUCUGAGAGGAGUACCAGCCACAAUGGAACUGAGACACGGUCCAGACUCCUACGGGAGGCAGCAGUGGGGAAUAUUGCACAAUGGGCGCAAGCCUGAUGCAGCCAUGCCGCGUGUAUGAAGAAGGCCUUCGGUUUGUAAAGUACUUUCAGCGAGGAUGCGUUACUCGCAGAAGAAGCACCGGCUAACUCCGUGCCAGCCGCCGCGGUAAUAC
rnacentral:rRNA from 1 species